GAAUGGUUGGCGGGAGGUGGCUGGAGGGAUCUCUGGAGCCAUCGGCAUCGCGCCACCUCCAGGCCCAGUUGGGUGAUAGCCGGCUGAGCCCGGAUGUGGGGCACCUGGUGCUGACCACCCUCUGCCCGGCCCUCCACGCCCUGGUGGCGGACGGGCUGAAGCCUUUCCGGAAGGACCUCAUCACCGGGCAGCGCAGGAGCAGCCCCUGGAGCGUGGUGGAGGCGUCGGUGAAGCCAGGUGAGCCAGGAGGGCGUGGGACCCGGCAGUGCGCAGGGCAGGGCCGGGCUUGGCUGACUGCACCCCACGUUCUCAGGCUCCAGCACCCGCUCCCUUGGAACCCUGUAUAGCCAGGUCAGCCGUCUAGCCCCGCUGAGCAGCAGCCGUAGCCGCUUCCAUGCCUUUAUCCUGGGCCUCCUCAACACCAAGCAGUUGGAGCUGUGGUUUUCCAGUCUCCAGGAAGAUGCAGGCCUGCUCUCCCUCCUGUACCUGCCAACAGGAUUUUUCUCCCUGGCCCGCGGUGGCUGUCCCUCCCUGUCCACAGAGCUGCUGCUCCUGCUGCAGCCAUUGUCGGUGCUCACUUUCCACCUGGACCUGCUCUUUGAGCACCACCACCACCUGCCCCUGGGCCCACCUCAGGCCCCUGCCCCUCCAGGCCCACCUCCAGCUCUGCAGCAGACUAUGCAAGCCAUGCUGCACUUUGGGGGCCGGCUGGCCCAGAGCCUUCGGGGGACUUCCAAGGAAGCUGCUUCAGACCCCUCUGACUCUCCAAAC
rnacentral:sRNA from 1 species